UUUACUUAAUAAUUAUUAUAUCUGAACACUUUACAAGAUUUCAUUUUACAGGAACAUUAGAAGAACUCCGUAUACCAUUAAAUUAUGAAGUUAUGGAGCAUUGGUUGUAUUAGUCCUCAUUUGCCCCGGAAAGUAGCUGUUCCCAUGGUUCUAAUAAAAGCAUGAAAGUGCCUUUUUUCCAUUGGGAACGAAGCUGUUAAAUUUUCAUCCUGGAUGCUCUUGUAGUUAAUUAAGGGAUGUUAGAAGAACUCCAGAUGCCAUUAAAUUGUGGAGCAUUGAUUGUGUCGGUCCUCAUUGACUCUAAAAAAGUGACUGUUCCUAUGGUCAUAAAGAAAGCAUGAAAGUGCCUUUCCAUUGGGAACGGAGACAAUGUGCUUAAGAAGUGUGUUGCUGAAGGAGGGAUUUAUGACAAUAAACUGAUUGUCCCACAAAUGACGAGGGAUUGCAGUUAAUUUUGAUGCUACUGAAGCAACUGAUAAUUUUGAUGUCUUCAUCUUGCAACAUUAUGCAGUUAAUUUUUGCCGUAACAACAGGAGGCAGGUAGAAAUUAAUUAAUUUGGAAGCGACUGGAACAACAAAUUGUUUGCAGUGGUAUCCUUCCUAGAUUUGGUUUGCUCAUCACACUGUAGACUGUAGAACGCCACUUUCUACAAUUAAUCAAGGUUAUACAAUAAAUGAGAGAAUUAAUGUGCAGUUUGGUUAUACUGAAACAGCCCAUGUCUACAUAGGUGUGGUCUUUCCUGGAUUAUAUUCUUGAUUUGCUGUUUCAUCUUCGCCUUGUAACAUCAUGCAGUUAAUUUUCAAUCCAUGAGGUAGUGCAACUGGAUAUUUAUUUGAAUUCCACGGAAAUAAGAAAUUCUCUGCUGCAGUAUUUCUCCUGGAGUUGGUUUACUUUUCACAACUGUAAACUUUGGAAUGUUACGUUCUAUAAUUUAUUAAGGUGAGGAUACUUGAUAUA
rnacentral:lncRNA from 1 species